rnacentral:rRNA from 1 species
AUAAUGGGUCAGCGACUUAUAUUCUGUAGCAAGGUUAACCGAAUAGGGGAGCCGAAGGGAAACCGAGUCUUAACUGGGCGUUAAGUUGCAGGGUAUAGACCCGAAACCCGGUGAUCUAGCCAUGGGCAGGUUGAAGGUUGGGUAACACUAACUGGAGGACCGAACCGACUAAUGUUGAAAAAUUAGCGGAUGACUUGUGGCUGGGGGUGAAAGGCCAAUCAAACCGGGAGAUAGCUGGUUCUCCCCGAAAGCUAUUUAGGUAGCGCCUCGUGAAUUCAUCUCCGGGGGUAGAGCACUGUUUCGGCAAGGGGGUCAUCCCGACUUACCAACCCGAUGCAAACUGCGAAUACCGGAGAAUGUUAUCACGGGAGACACACGGCGGGUGCUAACGUCCGUCGUGAAGAGGGAAACAACCCAGACCGCCAGCUAAGGUCCCAAAGUCAUGGUUAAGUGGGAAACGAUGUGGGAAGGCCCAGACAGCCAGGAUGUUGGCUUAGAAGCAGCCAUCAUUUAAAGAAAGCGUAAUAGCUCACUGGUCGAGUCGGCCUGCGCGGAAGAUGUAACGGGGCUAAACCAUGCACCGAAGC